AAAAGCUCGUAGUUGGAGUUCAGAGUGAGCUCAGCUGGUCGGCCUAAUGGGUCCUUCCAAGAUGACUCUCUCUUGUUUGUGGGUCUCUCCCGGAGAUAACUCUUCGGAUGUGGAUCCCACAUCGUUUACCUUGAAAAAAUUAGAGUGUUCAAAGCAGGUGUUUGCUUGAAUAUAUUAGCAUGGAAUAAUGGAAUAGGACGCUGGUUCUAUUUUGUUGGUUUUGAGAACCAGAGUAAUGAUUAAUAGGGACAGUUGGGGGCAUUCAUAUUUCAUUGCCAGAGGAGAAAUUCUUGGAUUUAUGAAAGAUGAACUUCUGCGAAAGCAUUUGCCAAGUAUUUUUUCAUUAAUCAAGAACGAAA
rnacentral:rRNA from 1 species